AGGCUAUACAUGAGAGGAUAUUGGUCAAUAGCCUAACGGCUGAACCAGCAACUUGGAGGAAUGUAUAGGGAAAACUGGUAAAAUGUGAUGUACCUAGUAAUAUUAGUAAUUAAUAUGAGAUUAACUAAGUUAAUUAAAAUUCUAAAUAGAUACUGAUUAUGACAAUAUCUAGAUAAGUCUUGACCAAGUCACGUGCCAGCAGUCGCGGUAAUACGUGGUAGACAAGUGUUAUUCAUCUUUAUUAGGUUUAAAGGGUACCUAGACGGUUAAUUAAGCAAAAACAUGUACUAAUUAACUAGAGUUUGAUGUAAGAAGGGUUGAGUACGGUGAGUGGAGAGAUAAAAUGCUUUGAUACAAUUUAGGAACUGGUAAAGGCGAAGGCAACCUUCUAUGUAAAAACUGACGUUAAGGGACGAAGGCUCAUGUUAAAUAAUAGGAUUAGAUACCCUAGUAUUUUGGGCAGAAAAUGAUGAGUGUCAUAUACAAGAAGUUUAAUAAGUUUUUUUGUGUAUAAAUGAAAGUGUAAGCACUCCACCUCAUGAGUAACAUGGCAACAUGGGAACUGAAAUCAUUAGACCGUUUCUGAAACUCUUAGUGAAGUAUGUUGUUUAAUUUGAUGAUCCACAAAUAACCUUACCAUAAUUUGAAUAACUAUAGAAUUAUAGUAUAUAGUUACAAGCGUUGCACGGCUGUCUUCAGUCAAUGUUGUGAAACUUUGGUUAGAUCCAUUUAAUUGACGUAAACCCUUUCUUUAUUUAUUAUAGAGUAGUUCGCCGCUAUAUUGGUAGUGAUAUAUGGGACUAGGACAAGUCAUCAUGACUUGAACAUUAUGAUCUAUNGACGUGCCACA
rnacentral:rRNA from 1 species